rnacentral:lncRNA from 1 species
AGGCUGCUCCCACUACAGUCCAACCUGCAGCGUGCCCCACCCAGGCUCCUCCCACAACAGUCUAACCUGCUGCGUGCCCCACCCAGGCUGCUCCCACUACAGUCCAACCUGCUGCGUGCCCCACCCAGGCUCCUCCCACUACAGUCUAACCUGCUGCGUGCCCCACCCAGGCUCCUCCCACUACAGUCUAACCUGCUGCAUGCCCCACCCAGGCUGCUCCCACUACAGUCUAACCUGCUGCGUGCCCCACCCAGGCUGCUCCCACUACAGUCUAACCUGCUGCGUGCCCCACCCAGGCUGCUCCCACUACAGUCUAACCUGCUGCGUGGCCCACCCAGGCUGCUCCCACUACAGUCUAACCUGCUGCGUGCCCCACCCAGGCUGCUCCCACUAAAGUCUAACCUGCUUCCUCCAGUGCCAAGUCUGCUGCAACUAGUACCUGCUUUCUUCACCCACAUCCCAGUCUGCUGCCAGGCAACUCCACCCAUGAAAAAAAAAUGCAUCACUAGUGGCAACGCAUCACUAGUUUCCAUAUAGACUGCUGUACUCCAGACCUUUUUAUCUUCUUCUAAAAUUAGAGGCUUGAUUCAAUCAGAUUGAGCAUUAACCCACGGUUGCUCUUGUGCGUCACAAACCACUCACUUCCUUCCCACACACACCAUGUCAUUUCAAAUCAAUUAUGUUGAACCAACGUGGAAUAGAUGUUGAAUUGACGUAUGUGCCCAGUGGGAUAUUUUCCCUACCGCAUUAGAAGUUCAAAAUGGCGAUAGAAACUGUAGGCUAUUGCAUAAUUUUCAUGUUAAUUUGGAUGGGGGGGAUGUAAAGCUGUCACGACUCCUACCGAAGGUGGCUCCCCUUCCUGCUCGGGUGGUGCUCGGCGGUCGUCGUCACCGGCCUACUACACAGGGGAUCAAAUACUUUUUUCCCCACUGUAGCUGCCACUGAUUCCCUUUUUCCCCUUUCUGUUUAUUGGUUUCACCUGUUUUUUGUUAGACUGAUUAGUCGGGUUAUUUUAGCCAGUAGGCCCGCCUGCUCUGUGUGCGGGAUUGUUUGUGUGUUGCAUCUGUGCACGCUCGUGUCUCAGGCGUUUCGGUAGUGGGUUUUUCUCCGGACUGUUUCAGUCCCCAGUGUUUGGGGCAUUUGUUUUGUAUGCGCCCUGUAUCUUAGUGGGGUGGCUUAUGUUCGCCGUUUGUGCCAAUAAAGCACUAACCUGUACUCUCUGCUUCCUGCGCCUGACUUCGCACCCACUACACACAGAGCCUUACAAAAGCGUAUCAGUCUAAUCGGGAGUAGGGCCUUUAGCCUACAAUAGAACAUCACACAUUCAGGUGUUUGAACUAUUAACGCGCUGCAGGAACUUCUGACGCGGCUUCACGGGAUUUGUUUGAUAUAUCACCUAAACUAUUGGCAGUUUAGGUGAUAAGGUAACACAAGGAGACACUUGUGGAUUUGACAGCUCUAACACAGCUCUGCCGUUUCACAUUUGUCAUUAAUAAAUUGUCACGUCCUGACCAGUAAAAGGGGUUAUUUGUUAUUAUAGUUUGGUCAGGGCGUGGCAGGGGGUGUUUGUUUUGGGUGUUUCGGGGUUUUGAUGUAUGUUCUAUAUUUUCUAGGUUUAUUCUAGGUUUCUCUUUCUAUGUUGUGUUUUUUCAAUGACCUCCAAUUAGAGGCAGCUGGUGGUUGUUGUCUCUAAUUGGAGGCCAUAUUUAGUGUGUUUCGUUUUCACUUGUGUUUGUGGGUGGUUGUUUCCGGUUUAGUCUGUGCACCUUACCUUCAAUAAAUACGAAGAUGAGCAAUAUACCCG